rnacentral:rRNA from 1 species
GUACGGGAGGCAGCAGUGAGGAAUCUUGCGCAAUGGGCGAAAGCCUGACGCAGCGACGCCGCGUGGAGGAUGACGUUCUUCGGAAUGUAAACUCCUUUUGUGAGGGAAGAAACGCCGAUUGGUCGGCCUGACGGUACCUCAUGAAUAAGCUCCGGCUAACUUCGUGCCAGCAGCCGCGGUAAUACGAGGGGAGCAAGUGUUGUUCGGAUUUACUGGGUGUAAAGGGAGCGCAGGCGGUCUUGUAAGUCAGAGGUGAAAUGUCCACGCUUAACGUGGUCACUGCCUUUGAAACUGCUUGACUUGAGUAUUGGAGAGGGUAACGGAAUUCCAGGUGUAGCGGUGGAAUGCGUAGAUAUCUGGAAGAACACCAGUUGCGAAGGCGGUUACCUGGCCAAGUACUGACGCUCAGGCUCGAAAGCUGGGGGAGCAAACAGGAUUAGAUACCCCGGUAGUC